AUGGCGCCGCCGCGUCUGCUGCGGGGCCUCAUCGCGCCGCUGUCGCCGUGCCACCAGCAGCUGCUGACCUCCGCCGCCCUCCUGCACCGCUGGUGGCUGGCGCGCCUCCGCUGCUCCGACGGAUUCAAGCUCUUCCUCGUCGUCCUCCUCGUCUCCGCCGCCCUCGCCGAGGUCCGCUACGUCGCCUCCGCGUCCAUGGCGCCCACCCUCCGCACCGGCGACCGCGCCGUCGCAGAAAAGGUGAGCUACAUGUUCCGGCGGCCGUCUGUGGGCGACAUUGUCUUCUUCAGGGUGCCCACGGCGCUGCAGAACUGCGGCAUAAAUAAGGAUGUUGUAUUUGUUAAGAGGGUUAUUGCCACCCCUGGAGAUUUCAUCCAGGUUCGACAAGGCCAGCUUAUUGUUAACGGUGUUGCGCAGAACGAACACUACACCGCACCCCAUGCGUCGUCGUACACGAUGGAAGCCAUGCGCCUCCCUCAAGGCCAUGUGUUCGCCAUGGGUGAUAACCGUAAUACCAGCUGUGAUUCUCGUGCCUGGGGACCUCUUCCUAUCAGCAACAUUCUUGGGAGAUACAUGAUGUCCUUCACAAGGUCGUCCCUCCAAUAA
rnacentral:rRNA from 1 species